rnacentral:lncRNA from 1 species
UUUCUUGUUAGGUCGGAAUUCUCCAGUGAAUAUGCGUAUGUCCAAAUCAAGUAAGCUCGGGUUCACCUGGUUUGAAAACUUAAAAACUUCUUCAUCUGAACUUGAUGGGACUAUUUCAACUUCUAAAUGUUGUACAGAUGAGGUAGUAAUGUAUUACAAGCGGUCUUUGGGAUGGACCAGUUGAUCUUAGACUUUGUUCGUGUUGAAGAAGGCACAUAGGUCUUCUCGAGUGGGCUGAACGUGCUUUGGCCAAGAGUUUGAAAUGAAUCUCGGCCAUCUUUCCUAGUGGGCUGCUUCUGGGCUGUUGAUUCUCUUGCUUUCAUUUCUCCAGGGGUGCUUAGCUCAACUUGUAUCAUUGGCUGACAUGGAUUUAUUUCUUUGGCUCUAAUUUGGUCUCUUUAGCCAAAUUAGUUCUCCUGGGAUACAUUGGUUCACACCAUGGUUGAUCUGUGGUUUUAUGGCCGCAUCAAACAACCUACUCAUCUCUUUAUAAUUGCUGAUCAAAAAGCUUUAUUUAAUAUGAAAGUCUCCGAGCUCCAUUCUUGAUUUUCCCUAUCGAACACGUAGUUGCAUAACUAGUACGACAAUGACAUGUCAAACUGAGUUACUUAUACUUGAUGAUAGAAUUUACUUUUAACAGUAUAAAGCCGUCUUAAUAAUAUUUCAUGUUCAAAUCUUUACUUAGCAAUUUAUAUAUAUCACUAAAAAAGUGUAUAUCUGUUCGAGUGCUAUACUCGUCCGUGCUAAAAAAAUGGUCAUGAAUGUUGGAAACUAGAUAGGAAUUUAAAUCUUAUAAUUCCUUUAGCAUAAGAUCUACUAUAUGUAUACUUGCAUAAAAAUUUAGAUUGUUAGAAAAUUUACUUGAACUCAUCUUGCAAGAAGAUGAUUGGUAGAUGAUCUUCUAGCUCUAUGUAUCUAAAUUAUUCUUCUAUUAAGAGAUGAGUACUUGUGUAGAGAAUAGAGAGAAGUAUGCUUUAAGAGAGUGAAUUUUAUCUUUUUUCAAAACUAAAA